rnacentral:tRNA from 1 species
GCGGAAUUGAUGGAAUUGGCAGACAUGCAAGAUUUAGGUUCUUGUGGGCGACCGUGAGGGUUCGAGUCCCUCAUUCCGCA